AUAUGUUCUCACAGUUUCUAUUGGAGGGCUAAAGAUACGCCAGUGGAAACAUUGGGAAGAUUCAAUUGCUAAAAAGAAUUAUGAUUCAGAGCAAGUGUUGAAGAAAAAGUCACUCAUGUCCAUCAGCAUACUUUAUCAAAGAGCACUUUCUGGGUUUCGGUAAAGAUUCAAUUGUGCUAGGGUGGUUGCAUCAUUUUUUAAGCAAUUCUAUGCAUCCGUGACCAAAUCAGAUUACGUGAACGUGACACUAAGGCUAGGUUUCAUAAUGAUGCAUUGCAGGGGA